GGGAUAGGCACAUGAAUCAAUUCAAGCCAAGCAGAAUUAGAUCAAAGACGUUUGUUCUGUGCUGGACUUGUCGAUGGGAAUAUGUAAGCUCCCUUCACAAAAAGAGACCCUUACUAAGAAUGACUUCUCCUCAGAGGACAAAAGAAGAGGCGAUACAGACACAGACAUGUGUGCACACAGAAGGAAGACCAUAAAAACAGAGACAAGACAGCCAUCUACAAGUUAAGUAGAGAGGGCUCUGAAGAAGCACUCCUGCCAACACCUUGAUCUUGGACUUUAAGCCUCCAGAACUGUGAGAGAAUAAAUUUCUGUUUGUUGAAGCCUCCCA
rnacentral:lncRNA from 1 species